UCAGGUCCACCGUCAGUGAAAAAUCAGUCUUGGGUAUUGGAUCGAUUCCCAGGAUCUGACUCCGGAAGUUACACAGAACCAGACGUUCCUCCUGACACUCCUCUGGGUCACAGAUGAUAGAGAAAUCCGCCAUUCGCACAGGUCCCUAAGGAGAAUCCAGGAAUCAGAGGUAUUGUGUGGUGUGCUGGGGAAGAGUAGAUGGGGUCCUGUCAUGCUCAUUCACACCAGUCGCCAGACAGACAGAAGCUCUGCC
rnacentral:lncRNA from 1 species